UCCUGCCCAAACUGAGAUGGUCCAGGUGGUUGAGGAGGACCAGGGUGGCCACAAGGAGGAGGUCUGGAGGGGAAUGGGGGCAGGAUGAGCUGGCCUGCCUCUGCCUUUCAUCCCUUCUGGCCAUUCCACCCAUCCACUUCUGGGCACCAACCUCCCUCCACUCUUUUCCACUCUUUCUCAACAGCUAAGGGAUGAAUUGGGUUCUUUAAGGGGGGCAUUCUAUUCUAGGGUUGAAAGCCAACUCUCCAUCAUUGGCCACCUUGUGAGUUCAGUCAAGGGUUCACCCAGAAGAAGUCUCCAUUUCAAGAGGAGGGAAACUGAGGCCAGGUGGUGAAACAACCCAGUAUUUUGGAAACAGUGGAGUGACGAAGCCCCGCUUUGAAGCCAUCUGAGAACUGUCCUCUUAGAGCUGUAGCCCAGGGACCUGGGCAGAAAACCAUUCCGUGCGGCCUCAGUUUCUCAUCCGUGAAGUGGGCAUAAUAUUUAGCUCAUGGCGCUGUUUCAGGAUUCAAGAGACCACAUCCUAUGGAGCUCAUGGUAAGCACCCAGUGUCUUUCCCCCUUUCUUUUUCCUCUGCACAAGUCUCUGAGUAGUCUGUCCCAAAUUUCUGCCUCCUCUUUCCCGGCCGCCACCCCUCCCGCCCGAGCGCUGAGUCUUUCUUGGCCGGUUACUCACUGCGCAGCGGGCACAUGCUGAGCGGCGCUGCGGUGACAGCGAGUCGGCGGCUGGACGCAGAUGGAUGGACGUCGCAGGGGUCAUUGAAAUGAGCACAAGUCAGCUGUUGUUCUCAUGCCAUCUGGCAGUGUGAAAUCCAGUGUAGCUCGGCUUCUGAAAGAUCACCUAAUGGCAGGUGAAGUGAACUGCUAAGAGAGCUGCUGGGCCCAUUCAGCUUCUGAACAAAGAAUUUCCUCUAAGUUUCAGCAUUAUUGCUGGAUUAACGUUGAAUCUGCACUGCAAACCCUAUAGAACUCUUUAGAGGAAACUCCCACCCCCACUCCCAGAUAUCUUGAUGAACAGUCUGUUGAACCCAGCAAGCUUCCUGCUGAAGUGAGGAUAAUACUGAGAGGUAAGAUCCUGAAGGUACCCAGACCUUUGUAAACCUGGCAAAUGGAUCAUUUUAGGAUCUAUUUCCUCUGUGAAAUGCAGCAAUUAUGUAAUAGCAUACCAUAUACUUCCCACAUUUUUCAUGGGUAUUAGAAACCAUGAGAUUUGAAGCUAAGAAUGCUGAGGCUACUGUUUAAGUACAAAAUAGGAAGUUUUUAUCAUGAAUAAGUUUAAAAAGUUGCAUGAAUGUCAGUAAUCAAUCGAAGUUCUCAGCAGCUCAAGUAAUGAAAUGCACACAUCUCAGUACUUACCCUAAAUGUUUUAGGGGGAUUCUUGGCCAGUAACUCCCUUUGCUUUGCCUGGCCAUAAAUUAAGUAUUUAAUUCUUUUAUUGAGAAAUGGAUGAAAGAUUCAGAAUUCUGAGAGACAAACCUAAUUCAAAAUGUUUUUUCAAUAGAAUCCCUUUUGCUAUCUACUCAAGGUAGCAUUAAAUAAUAAUCAGUAAUGCUAUUGCUGGUUUUUUUUUUUCUUUUUUACCCAAAGUCCAAAUGGGUACCCCUUUCUUAUAAGCAAGAUGAUUCUCAGUAGACAUCCAAUUACAAUAUUUAUUUCUCAUUUAGACACUGGAAGGUCAGUUUUAUUUUUUAAUAGAAAUAUCACAAUGUGGCAAGUAUACAUAAUUUUUCAAGGCACAGAGCAAGACAUAAAGAUUUUGCAAAAUGUCUUAUGCUUGCAUUAAUUCCUUUGUGGUAACACAUGUUAUCUUUUGGGAAUGAGAUAUCUUGUACCCACAGCCCAUGCCAUUCUCUUCUGGAGGUGGGUUUCAGAUGACAGUAUUGUCACAUGGCAAAUAGCCAAGAGUUUUGGCCUAUGGGUGUAGGAUCUUCCUUCCUUCCUUCCUUCCUUCCUUCCUUCCUUCCUUCCUUCCUUCCUUCCUUCCU